rnacentral:rRNA from 1 species
UGGGGAAUUUUGGACAAUGGGCGAAAGCCUGACCCAGCAACGCCGCGUGAAGGAUGAAGUAUUUCGGUAUGUAAACUUCGAAAGAAUAGGAAGAAUAAAUGACGGUACUAUUUAUAAGGUCCGGCUAACUACGUGCCAGCAGCCGCGGUAAUACGUAGGGACCAAGCGUUGUUCGGAUUUACUGGGCGUAAAGGGCGCGUAGGCGGCAUGACAAGUCACUUGUGAAAUCUCUGGGCUUAACCCAGAACGGCCAAGUGAUACUGUCGCGCUAGAGUGCAGAAGGGGCAAUCGGAAUUCUUGGUGUAGCGGUGAAAUGCGUAGAUAUCAAGAGGAACACCUGAGGUGAAGACGGGUUGCUGGGCUGACACUGACGCUGAGGCGCGAAAGCCAGGGGAGCAAACGGGAUUAGAUACCCCAGUAGUCCCUGAGCGGGCUGGCAAGGCGCAU